CUGCCGCCAUAACUGCCUGGUCCACCUGGCCCUCCUGGUCUACCGGGUCCUCCGGGACCUCCAGGACCACCAGGACCUCCUCGAUUUGGUGCUUGAAUCAAGCCUGCACCUCCCGCGGUACCCGCAUUACCCGGAGGAAGGUUAUCAAAGUUCAAAAUGGACUCCCACUGAUUUCCCGCGCACAUGUUUGGUAUCAUUGGGUUCUAUCAGUAAAUCGCAGAGAUUCACCGGGAAUGAACCAAGUAAGGACCAGAUUCACUUUGAUCUGGCUUUUCUACCAGAAAUUAUUGCAGAAAGCUAGUUGGACCAGGCCCGUUCCCGAGAAAAAUCCUAAUUACGUCAAUGACGCCACCUGUCGCGGGAAAGCGGAUGUAUUGUAUUCAGGUCGAAGCAACCGUGCUUAUAUACCGAUCCGUGGCCGAGGAUCGUCUUCCUCCCACCCAGCUACGAGGGGAAGACUUAGAAACGGCAUCGACUCUGGUGAACACCCGGUGCCGCGUCCCUCGGCGAAGUUCGCGAACUCGGUUAACGAUGGAGUAACAAAGAAAAAGCGAACAGUAACGAUGGUUAAUCGCUGGUACCAUUUGACACCGUGGCCUGGAAUAGUCUUAUCUAAGCAUCGCCAGUAAUAGAUUCUGCCGGUAACGCCGUUGGAUCUCUGAAACAGAUCAGACAGCGGGACUCCAGGAAUCGAGCUGAAACGUUGGACAAGAUACAGAAAAUCAGCGUGAUUCGAUGAUCGAUAGGAUCGGUUCGCUGCGAGCCAUUCGAAUUAGCCGAUGCAGGGGUGCGGCCUGCGCAAAAAACGGGGCGAUCGUGAGCCAUAGCUCGAUAAUAGGAUACCGCGAACGUUCGAGACAAUGUAUACCAACCGGAGAGGAUAGGACUUGGGAUGCUUUCUAAACGGAUCGAGUCACCGAACACGCCGAUACGCUUUGAGAAGACCCAGCCCUUUGGCGUGCUAUCCGCGCAUUCAUCUAUCUUGCUGCUCGUGUUAUGCCAGAGGAACUCGAUGUUCUCUUGAUAUUUCGAUCCACCACAGGGAAGAGAGAUGUUCUAACUCGUUCAGGCAGAAGAGGUCGAGCUUUAAAGGAUUAAGAAACACUCUCGUACGGGUCUAACAACCCGGCUAAUUGCCGUUAUAUACCUGGUGAAUACGACACGAAUGAAUCGCGGAAGCCUCGGCUCACACGUCGUUAUUGAAUAAUGAUCUCGAACAGAAGUACUGUACGCAUAAUCCCUCCCUCCAAUCAGUAGCUGGGCUACUGCUUUGCUUUCUUUGUUACGAUCUCGCUGUAUGGAUGAUGAUCGUGGCAGCGUUUCGAAAGAACCGACACACCGGAGGUCGACGAAAGGGAAAAAUUGAAAAAAAAAAAAAAAUGAAACAAGUCUGUGGUCUCGGCGGUUCUUGUAUUUGCCCUGACGCAACCACGUGGACGCUGACGAUGAUAACAAGGAGGACGACGAAGAGGUGCUACGUUCGCGCGUCGAAGCGAAUCUUCGUGCAAUUCUAUGCAGCCUGAUGCAACUGACAGAGGAUUCUCGUCCAUUGGAAUUCCUAAAUACAUGACGUACGCCGCGGGCUACGAGCUGACAGAAGAAGGGUAGAGAACAAAGAAACAUUGGCUAACUCUCGUCUCUUGUUAAACGUCCCCGAUGGAACGCUAAUCGUUGGAAUUCGAAUAUGGAUCGCGACACUUCGAUCCGGGAUCAACGUGAUCGCGUUCAAUGCGAUCGGAACUAGUACGUUGAACAUGUCGAUUUAAGAGGAUCGAUGGAGACCGAGUGAAUGGGUGCCUCACGGUAGCGUUCCGAGACGCGAAAGUGGAAGUUAGAGUUGUGUAUAGAGUGCAAGAACCGUUAUGUCCAGCUUUCGUUGAAGUAUUCGGUUACUGAAAUUCGAAGACUCAGUAAU